rnacentral:rRNA from 1 species
AGUGAGGAAUAUUGGACAAUGGACGAAAGUCUGAUCCAGCCAUGCCGCGUGCAGGAUGACGGCCCUAUGGGUUGUAAACUGCUUUUAUACAGGAAGAAACACUCCCACGUGUGGGGGCUUGACGGUACUGUACGAAUAAGGAUCGGCUAACUCCGUGCCAGCAGCCGCGGUAAUACGGAGGAUCCAAGCGUUAUCCGGAAUUAUUGGGUUUAAAGGGUCCGCAGGCGGUCUAUUAAGUCAGAGGUGAAAUCUUGCAGCUCAACUGUAAAAUUGCCUUUGAUACUGGUAGACUUGAGUCAUUGUGAAGUGGUUAGAAUGUGUGGUGUAGCGGUGAAAUGCAUAGAUAUCACACAGAAUACCAAUUGCGAAGGCAGAUCACUAACAAUGUACUGACGCUCAUGGACGAAAGCGUGGGGAGCGAACAGGAUUAGAUACCCUGGUAGUCCACGCCGUAAACGAUGGAUACUAACUGUUCGACCUUC